rnacentral:rRNA from 1 species
GAUGAACGCUGGCGGCGUGCCUAACACAUGCAAGUCGAGCGGAGACCCAGGAAGUAGUAAUACGGAAUGGAUCUUAGCGGCGGACGGGUGAGUAACACGUGAGCAAUCUGCCUUUUGCUGGGGAAUAACAUUGUGAAAACAGUGCUAAUACCGCAUGACAUCCGACCGGGACAUCCCGGACGGAUCAAAGGAGAAAUCCGGCAGGAGAUGAGCUCGCGUCCGAUUAGCUAGUUGGUGAGGUAAAGGCCCACCAAGGCGACGAUCGGUAGCCGAACUGAGAGGUUGAUCGGCCACAUUGGGACUGAGACACGGCCCAGACUCCUACGGGUGGCAG